AUUGAACGCUGGCGGCAUGCCUUACACAUGCAAGUCGAACGGCAGCACGGGAGCAAUCCUGGUGGCGAGUGGCGAACGGGUGAGUAAUAUAUCGGAACGUGCCCAGUCGUGGGGGAUAACGUAGCGAAAGCUACGCUAAUACCGCAUACGAUCUAUGGAUGAAAGCGGGGGAUCGCAAGACCUCGCGCGAUUGGAGCGGCCGAUAUCAGAUUAGGUAGUUGGUGAGGUAAAGGCUCGCCAAGCCGACGAUCUGUAGCUGGUCUGAGAGGACGACCAGCCACACUGGGA
rnacentral:rRNA from 1 species